rnacentral:rRNA from 1 species
GACGAACGCUGGCGGCGUGCUUAACACAUGCAAGUCGAACGGUGAAGCGCCUUCCUUUUUGGUGGGUGUGGAUGAGUGGCGAACGGGUGAGUAACACGUGAGUAACCUGCCCCCUUCUUCUGGAUAACCGCAUGAAAGUGUGGCUAAUACGGGAUAUUCUGGGUCUGUCGCAUGAUGGGUCUGGGAAAGAUAUUGUUUCGGUGGGGGAUGGUCUCGCGGCCUAUCGGGUUGUUGGUGGGGUGAUGGCCUAGCAAGGCGGGGCGGUGUAGCCGGCUUGGGAGGGUGGCCGGUCAGACUGGGAGUGAGCCACGGCCCAGACUCAGACGGGGGGCAGCAGUGGGGAGUAUGGAACAGUGGGCGCAAGCCUGAUGCAGCGACGCGGCGUGAGGGAUGGAGGCCUUCGGGUUGUGAACCUCUUUCGCCAGUGAAGCAGGCCUGCCUCGUAUGUGGGUGGGUUGACGGUAGCUGGAUAAGAAGCACCGGCUAACUACGUG